rnacentral:rRNA from 1 species
UACAGAGGGUGCAAGCGUUAAUCGGAAUUACUGGGCGUAAAGCGUGCGUAGACGGUUAUGUAAGUCAGGUGUGAAAGCCCCGGGCUCAACCUGGGAAUUGCGAUGGAGACUGCAAGGCUUGAAUCUGGCAGAGGGGGGUAGAAGUUCCACGUGUAGCAGUGAAAUGCGUAGAGAUGUGGAGGAACACCGAUGGCGAAGGCAGCCCCCUGGGUCAAGAUUGACGCUCAUGCACGAAAGCGUGGGGAGCAAACAGG